UCGUGAUGUCAGUAUAGAAAUGCUAAAUUCUACAAGGAAGAAACAGUUGCUAUCUCUGUUACCAAGUCAAAUAAAAAGAAUGUGUAAUUAAAUAUCUUACAGUAGGCAUGUAAAUUCCAAGAGUGAAUUAAGAAGCUUUGGAGCCAAACAAGCCCCCUCCUACAUUGAACAAUUUAUGAUGAAAAACAUAAAAAGAGAAUUUGGGGUAUGUAACAAUGCUAAAAGUUCCACGCACAUAUUGGUGGUGAGUGUACUAGGAACAGGGAUAAAGGAGCAGUACACUUAUUUUUAACAAAAAGUAUAUAUAUAUAUAUAUAUAUAUAUAUAUAUAUAUAUAUAUAUAUAUAUAUAUAUAUAUAUAUAUAUAUAUAUAUAUAUAUAUAUAUAUAUAUAUAUAUAUAUAUAUAUAUAUAUAUAUAUAUAUAUAUAUAUAUAUACAGCAGCUUGUUUGCUCUUCCUCAGAUAAAUUUGUAUCACAUCACACAAGCAGAAACCUUC
rnacentral:lncRNA from 1 species